rnacentral:rRNA from 1 species
AUGUCGUCGUCGAUCCCACCGCCGGCCUUCUCCUCUGCUUGCCUCCUCCGGUCCUCUUCCACGUCUCCGUCGAUCCAGAUCAGACCCUCUCCUUGCACGCCCCGUGUUCCUCCUUCCAGCCGAUUGGGCACAGACGCACCAACCCUAGCCCCCGAUGCAGCCAUCCACUCCUCCCUCCUCCCUCCUCCUCCCCCCUCCCCCUCCCAUAGCCGCCGCACCCGUCGCUUGGCCCCCUGGCGACGCCUGGGUCGGGGCUGGGAAGAAGGUCCGGGCCUGCGAGGGAAAGCAGCGAGGGUUGGUGUAGCGGCAAAUGCGGGCGGGAUUUGCGUGGAGGGAGGCUCGUCAGCCGGAACAACAGGAGCAAGGAGGUCGUGCAGGAGCGAAUGCUGGCGGGGUCGGCCAUGGAAGAAGGCUCGCUGGACGGAGCAUCAAGAGCAGGGAAGUCGAGGUGGUUCAGGUUUGCCUCUAUCUCCUCCCCACUCUAUCUCUGCCCUCUCUCUUAUUUUCCCCUUUGUCUCGUGGAUAAGGGCGUCAGUGCACCACGAGGAGUAG